UUGACGGGGCCCGCACAAGCGUGGAGUAUGUGGUUUAAUUCGAUGCAACGCGAAGAACCUUACCUGGUCUUGACAUCCCGGAGACCCUUAGGAAACUAGGGGGUGCUUCCAUCUGGAAGAAUCUGGAGACAGGUGCUGCAUGGCUGUCGUCAGCUCGUGUCGUGAGAUGUUGGGUUAAGUCCCGCAACGAGCGCAACCCUUGCCUUUAGUUGCCAGCAGUUCGGCUGGGCACUCUAAAGGGACUGCCGGUGUUAAACCGGAGGAAGGUGGGGAUGACGUCAAGUCCUCAUGGCCUUUAUGACCAGGGCUACACACGUACUACAAUGGCCGAUACAAAGGGCAGCGACACUGCGAGGUGAAGCCAAUCCCGUAAAAUCGGUCUCAGUCCGGAUUGGAGUCUGCAACUCGACUCCAUGAAGUUGGAAUCGCUAGUAAUCGUGGAUCAGCAUGCCACGGUGAAUACGUUCCCGGGCCUU
rnacentral:rRNA from 1 species